rnacentral:tRNA from 1 species
GAGGGUAUAGCUCAAGUGGUAGGGUGCAUGCUUAGCAUGCAUGAGCUUCUGGGUUCAAUCCCCAGGACCUCCU